AUAAAUACUGUGAACAGGAGUAGUAAUAUUUUUUAACUAUUUUAAAGAGAGCUGUUGUUUGGUGAAAAGCAGUAAUAGUAAAAUAUGAACUUGCCUGGGAGUUUGUCUACUGAAAAGUAGAUACGGUUAAAACCGUUAUAUUUUUAAGUGAAGCAAUUAAUGCUUAACAAGAGUGGUACCGCGGAAUACAGCUUUCGUCUCUUAA
rnacentral:ncRNA from 1 species